rnacentral:rRNA from 1 species
AUGGCUUCUGGUGCCGCCGCUCUUGUUCUCAAGGCGUCCGUCUUCGCUGCCGUACUCUCCAUGCUGGUCCUGCCUUCCUCGGGGCGUUGUCCAUCGCUGGGACCGGCACUGCCACCACCACCGACGUCGGUUUCAGUAACUCCAGAGCCGCCACCGCCUUCAGGGCCCAAGAUAACAUGCGCGGAUUGUAUGCAGUGCCGGGACUCGUGCAGCAGCGACUGCGCUGCUCUCAGCUGCCUCCGGGAAUAA